CCAGGAGCUGCUGUCCUUGCAUGACUCCACCCCUUUCCCCAUUAUCCUCUAUGCGCAACUUAAGGUAUAAAAACUACUUUGGAAAAUAAAGUGCGGGCCUUGUUCACCAAAACUUGGUCUCCCCAUGUCGCUCUCUCUCCCAAAUUCUGGCUGAGUCUCCAUCUGAAGCGAGGAACCCGCCAUGCUUACUAAUUAUGCCUGGGCUUCUAAGAUCCGACCGGGGAGGCCUCAGUGUCUCCUCUCCUUCGGGAGAACGGAAGGACGCCUGCGGCCUACACGGAAGCCCACCAGGCUCUCCUGCCCUUGGGAUUCUCCAGGCAAGAACACUGGAGUGGGUUGCCAUUUCCUUCUCCAAGGCAUGAAAGUGAAGAGUGAAAGUGAAGUCGCUCAGUUGUGUCCGACCCUCAGCGACCCCAUGGACUGCAGCCCACCAGGCUCCUCCAUCCAUGGGAUUUUCCAGGCAAGAGUGCUGGAGUGGGGUGCCAUUGCCUUCUCCAAUCAUUAAGUAUAAGCACAGAUGGUGAUUUUGGCGUUAUAGCUAAGAAUCCAUUGCUAAAUCUGAGAAAAGCAUUAUUGAAAAAUGGAACCAAACCCUGCUAACUUUGAAAAAACCAUUGUCCUAGAUAUUGAGAAGAUGAGCUUACAAUGAAAAGUUAAUCACCUACUCUUUCUGGACACCUUAGGCCAGCAGCAUUCACCCAGAAAGGAAUACUUCAUCAUGUAUCUAGAAUAUAUGUUUGUCCUUUUGCAUAGAAUAAAAUGAAAGAGUUAGGAGAGACAGAGAUAGAGACAGAGACAGGCAGAAUGAAAGAUGUAGAUAUUCAAUGUUAUUUAUUUUGUUGUCAAAAGCCACUUUGGAAAGUAAUGACCUUUAAUUCCAAACCACAUGUAGAAUUUUCUCAGAGCAUUGGAGAGUUCCAUGUCUUUUUUUUUUUUUUCCCUUACCUUUUCUUUAGCUUUUCAUUGUAUUUGGGUAAUCUGAAAGUCAAGAGAGGCAGACUUGUGUGUUUGGAUAUUUUCCCAGUUCUUAGUGAGCCAAUACUACAUUAUAGUCCUUGAAAACAUAAUUAUUUUAAAAGAAAUGGGUUGAAGUUCCCCCUCUCCCUUUUCACACACUGCAGGAAGCUGUUAAUGGACUCCCCUCCCGAGGUGCCUAUAUUGUUGGAAAAGCAAAAAAAUGUCUUGGAUCCAUUGCUUAUAACAUUUUGCUAGUAGAUAUAAAAAGCUGACAAUUUUGUCGUAGUUCUUUGUGGCAAUUAUUUGUACUUCCGUAACCUAGUGUGUACUUCAUGUUCACACAUGUCCUAAUUAUCUAAUUAUUCUGUUCUGCAGUGAGUGAUUUUGAAUAGCUUUUACCAUCUACUUACCAUAAAGGUAUAAUAAGAUGAUUAAUAAGAACAUGUAUAAAACAUUUGGAAUGCAGAAAGGAGCAAUUUUUAAAACUAAUGAAAUAUUACAGGGAGCAUUCUUAUUUCUAUGUUUUCAGAAAUAUAUUUGUUUUGGCAUAAUAAUACAUGAACCCACACAUUUAAGAUGUCAUAUUUUAAUAAGACAUGUCCUCUAUAAAAGUGAAAUAUCUGUAAUUCUUUCAUUGAUUUAUUUUGAAGUGAAAUGUUAUUUUUUACUACAAAAUAAUUCCAUUUAUUUAAAAAAGUUAUAAGUAAAAAUUAAAGGUGAAAAUAAUGCCCCCUGUAUUCAUCUCUGUGCAAAGUGAACAUUGUUAAACCAUGAGUAGCUGCCCUUCCAGUUGAUUUAUCAGUUUAUAUAGACACAUAGCUAUUUGUCACAGCAGUUAUUAAAUAAAUGCAUAAUGAUACAUAUAUAAUUUUAAUUUUUUUGCAAUGUAGUGUUUUUAUACUGUAUGUGUUUCUCUUCUACUGCUUUUUUUCUUAAUGAUGUAUUAGUACUUUGUAUACUCUGCAGAAUUCUGCCCCCUUAUUUACUUAGUUGCUUAAUGUGUUUUAUAGCUAACAUAACCAAUUUUCUAUUGUUAAAUGUUCACAUAGAUUGACUUUCUUUGUUCUGUUUACAGUCCAUGAUGAAAAUCCUGCCAAUUAAGUCCACUGCAUAACUUUAGGAAAAUUUCUCUGAAACAUAACUACCAGUUGUUCUUCGUAUGAGAAAACAUGUGAUUUAACAAACAAAAAUGUACUGGCCAAAUAGCUUUUGGAAAGAUACCAAUUUAUAUUCCCACCAGCAAUGUAUGAAAAUCCCCAUGCCCUAUUACUUAGGCUGGAUCUCUAGAUUAUUUUUAAUUUUUGUCAAUUGAAAAACAUCUGACAUCUCAUUAUUUUAAUUUGUUUGAAUUAAAUCCUGAGUUAAG
ensembl:lncRNA